AUUAUAAUUAUAGCGCCCGGACUCACAAUUAAACUAAUUGAUAAUGGACAAUGGACAAUUUACAAUUAAAAAUCUUCUAAACCAUUAUCAAUUUUCAAUUCUCAAUUGCAGUUAGUUGUGAGUUGACGAGGAAGGGGAAUUAUCGAUCAAUCGGCGGAUGCCCCUAGGUUAGUAGCUAUUAACCUAAAGAGGUAAGGAACUUCUUAAACUAAGCUCUUAAAACUUGUGAGUAAUUACAAGGAUAAAGGAGCUUAGAAUAGUAUUG
rnacentral:ncRNA from 2 species